CGAACGGGUGAGUAAUGCGUGGCCAACCUGCCCCAUGCUCCAGAAUAGCUCUUGGAAACGGGUGGUAAUGCUGGAUGCUCCAACUUGACGCAUGUCUUGUUGGGAAAGUGUUUAGUGGCAUGGGAUGGGGUCGCGUCCUAUCAGCUUGUAGGCGGGGUAAUGGCCCACCUAGGCUUCGACGGGUAGCCGGCCUGAGAGGGCGGACGGCCACAUUGGGACUGAGAUACGGCCCAGACUCCUACGGGAGGCAGCAGUU
rnacentral:rRNA from 1 species